rnacentral:misc_RNA from 1 species
GUACUGAUUUUAUUAUAGGUAUGACCUACAAGUACAGCAUUCUAUCAAAUUUCUGGAGUGUAUAUGAAAAACAUAGACUUGGAAAAAUAAAAGGGAAAGCCGAUAAACAUGCGUUUAAACACAGCAGUCCCAAAAAAAUUCUUAUGCCUUUGGGAAAAGACACUAUUAAAAUAAUUCCAAGCCUACAAAAGGUGCACAGGUGGAAAAAUAAAGAGGAUAAACGUGCACAUGCUCCUCGAAGAGAAGCCAGCAACAGUCUACCCAAGUUUAUAUUCGAUAAUGAUCCUUCCGCAGGUUCACCUACGGAAA